rnacentral:lncRNA from 1 species
GUUUUUCUACAGGUUUUGGGUUGUCCAUUUUUAAGGGAAGUUCUGUCAAAUUUUUGGUAGAAUUUCUUCUAAAGUGGGCCCCGCAGGGCCUCUUCGGAUUUCAGGGUGAAAACCGGGGCGGGUCCUGUCACUGCCGACGACUCCUUACUCUGGUCCGCCUCUGAACCAAGCCGAGUGAGGGAAGCGUUGGUUGUCCAGCGUAGUUCAUACGGCUUAUCGGCUCAUCUCUGGUGGCGUCACUCGGCUUUUUACCUGUUUCUUCUACUUCACAUUCGAUCUCAACCACCACUAGAUAUGUUUAAUUCUUCUCCUUUGCAUUUGUAGUAGAAGAUUUCGAAAAUCAUAUGAAUUUGGAUAUUGAAGCCUCCAUUCACCAAGAGAUCAUUCGACCAACCAAGAAAUGUUGAAAUGAAGUCUCACGCUGAAGGUGGUAAAAUUAUGCGUAUGGGUUUAGAGCAGUGGCGGAGCCAGGAAUUUAGGUUCACUGGGGCACAAAAAAAAUAUAUAUAUGAAGACAUACAAAAUCUUUAAAUGUAGUUUCUAUCUAUUACAAUGGUAAUUGCCCU